GGGGAGAGAUUCCAAUCGAACACGGAUAUAGCUGGUUCUCCCCGAAAUAGCUUUAGGGCUAGCGUCGAGGAUGAGUCUUGUGGAGGUAGAGCACUGAAUGUACGAUGGCCCCAUCCCGGGGUACUGAGUAUAAUCAAACUCCGAAUGCCAUGAGAUAUUCCCGGCAGUCAGACCGUGGGUGAUAAGGUCCAUGGUCAAAAGGGAAACAGCCCAGACCGCCAGUUAAGGUCCCAAAAUGUAUGCUAAGUGGAAAAGGAUGUGGGGAUGCACAGACAACUAGGAGGUUGGCUCAGAAGCAGCCAUCCUUCAAAGAGUGCGUAACAGCUCACUAGUCGAGUGACCCUGCGCCGAAAAUGUACCGGGGCUAAGCAUACUACCGAAGCUGCGGAUUUGUAGUAAUACAAGUGGUAGGGGAGCGUUCCAUGCACGUGGAAGCCAUACCGAAAGGAGUGGUGGAGAGCAUGGAAGUGAGAAUGCCGGUGUGAGUAGCGAGAUGCAGGUGAGAAUCCUGCACACCGAUAGCCCAAGGAUUCCAGGGGAAGGUUCGUCCGCCCUGGGUAAGUCGGGACCUAAGGCGAGGCCGAAAGGCGUAGUCGAUGGAAAACAGGCAGAUAUUCCUGUACCCGCGAUGGAAAUGAAGGAAUGACGGAGAAGGCUAGCAUGAGCCACUUAUUGGAUUGUGGUCGAAGCGAAUAGCAGGUGCAUAGUCAAAUGCGUGCACGGGAUGUAAAACGUGACAGGUAAGCGAAACCUUUGGGGAGUAGCGAAGCAUGCGAGGCCAGCUUCCAGGAAAAGUUUCUAGUGCUGAUUCCAUAGCGGCCCGUACCAAAACCGACACAGGUGGGCAAGGAGAGUAUCCUGAGGUGAGCGAGAGAACUGUUGCCAAGGAACUCGGCAAAAUGACUCCGUAAGUUAGCGAGAAGGAGUGCUUAUGAAAGUAAGCCGCAGUGAAGAGGCCCAAGCGACUGUUUAACUAAAACACAGCUCUCUGCGAAGUCGCAAGACGAAGUAUAGGGGGUGACGCCUGCCCGGUGCUGGAAGGUUAAGAGGAUUUGUCAUCCGCAAGGAGAAGCAAUGAAUUGAAGCCCCAGUGAACGGCGGCCGUAACUAUAACGGUCCUAAGGUAGCGAAAUUCCUUGUCGGGU
rnacentral:rRNA from 1 species